rnacentral:rRNA from 1 species
UACGGAGGGUGCAAGCGUUGUUCGGAAUUACUGGGCGUAAAGAGCGUGUAGGCGGUUGACUAAGUCAGGUGUGAAAUCCCUUGGCUCAACCAAGGACGUGCAUCUGAAACUGGUCUACUUGAGUACGGGAGAGGAGAGUGGAAUUCCUGGUGUAGAGGUGAAAUUCGUAGAUAUCAGGAGGAACACCGGUGGCGAAGGCGACUCUCUGGACCGAUACUGACGCUGAGACGCGAAAGCGUGGGGAGCAAACAGG